UCAGUUUCACCGGAAUAACAAUAUUAAAUGCUCCCAGUGGGUCUGUCCGGGUACUGCGAUUAGUAAUGCGGGGCAUUGCUUGCUGAUCAUUCUGUGAUCACUAGGAGUGAGGUUUCAAGUGAAAUAGGGAGGAAAAAAAAGUGAUUCUACCGUUUCAAAUAAUACUAUAAAAAUAUUUAUUUUUUGAACAGUUAUGAAAAAUGUAAAAAAUAAUAAACAGACUCCAGUGGUGUCACUAUGAUAUAAGGGGUACUGUCCAGUUGCAAGCCAGAUCCCUAAGGAAUCUUUUGGUAAAAGAAAACUAAAAUACAAAAAUAGAAAAUGGGGGAAAAAAUAUUUAAGAAAAUUAAAAAAAAAAAAAAUUGAUGUCCCUCCCAUUACAAAUAUACCUAAAACCUUUUUUGUUUUAAUUAACUUUUUUGCCCUCAAUCCAAAGUUCAAUAAUAAUAAUAAAAUGGUGCAGUAUGCAAGGGAGCGUCAUGCUUAGGGUGGCCAGAAAUGUGACGUGAAGAGGACAGUUUAUUAGAGCAGACUGGUAGCAUUUAAUGAUGCUUCUAAUCAUUGUUACGGCCGAUACCUUAGGCAAAGAGGGUUCGGCUUGCAGGCGAAAAAGUCUCGCCUUUGUCACAUACUUGCUCCUCUAUGGAUAAAAUACUGUUUUGAUCCAUUUCUUAAUUUUUUUUCUAGUUACCUUUUAACUGUUUCAAUCAUAACCCCCACAAAUUGGCUGUUUCAAGCAGCCAAUCAGUGGCAAGGAAGGUCAGGAAGAGUAGGGGGUGGGUAAGCUUCAGUUUCUCACUCAGACAGUAAACUGCCCCUCUAACCGCUUGACGACAAUUGACAUGCAAGGCGCAUGACGGAAGUGCAUUCAUCAUCUAUCUCUUCGCUCAGCUGAUCGUUUUCACCAUAUUGAAAGGCUGUAUGCCAACCAUGCAGGUCAAUAGGUCCCAGCUCACUAACCACUAUGUGAUCAGUAAAAUAAAAUUGAAAAAUAGUUGAAAAAAUAAAACAGACCCCAGUGAUAUCACCAUGACACUAUAAGGGGAACCAUGCAGUUAAAAGAAAA